CAGCAGCCGCGGUAAUACGAAGGGUGCAAGCGUUAAUCGGAAUUACUGGGCGUAAAGCGUGCGUAGGCGGUUUGUUAAGUCUGUUGUGAAACCCCCGGGCUCAACCUGGGAAUGGCAAUGGAUACUGGCAAGCUAGAGUGUGUCAGAGGAUGGUGGAAUUCCCGGUGUAGCGGUGAAAUGCGUAGAGAUCGGGAGGAACAUCAGUGGCGAAGGCGGCCAUCUGGGACAACACUGACGCUGAGGCACGAAAGCGUGGGGAGCAAACAGGAUUAGAUACCCCCGUAGUCCCUGUCUCUUAUAC
rnacentral:rRNA from 1 species